GACGAACGCUGGCGGCGUGCUUAACACAUGCAAGUCGAACGGAAAGGCCCUGCUUGCAGGGUACUCGAGUGGCGAACGGGUGAGUAACACGUGGGUGAUCUGCCCUGCACUUCGGGAUAAGCCGGGGAAACUGGGUCUAAUACCGGAUAGGAGCCAUUUUUAGCGUGAUGGUUGGAAAGUUUUUUCGGUGUAGGAUGAGCUCGCGGCCUAUCAGCUUGUUGGUGGGGUAAUGGCCUACCAAGGCGGCGACGGGUAGCCGGCCUGAGAGGGUGGACGGCCACAUUGGGACUGAGAUACGGCCCAGACUCCUACGGGAGGAAGCAGUGGGGAAUAUUGCACAAUGGGCGCAAGCCUGAUGCAGCGACGCCGCGUGGGGGAUGACGGCCCUCGGGUUGUAAACUCCUUUCGCUAGGGACGAAGCUUUUUGUGACGGUACCUAGAUAAGAAGCACCGGCUAACUACGUG
rnacentral:rRNA from 1 species